CGGGGCGUAGCGCAGCCUGGUAGCGCAUCUGUCUGGGGGACAGAGGGUCGUAGGUUCAAAUCCUGCCGCUCCGACCA
rnacentral:tRNA from 3 species